UCUUAAUAUAAGCCCAGCGCCCGACUGAGGACCAUCAUUGUCGUAGAGCAACAGAGACAUUCUCACUCAAUACACCUGCCAACUACAUACCUGUCAACUUCACACCUGUUAUACCGGGAUCAGUCUGCCACUGCAACCGCCAAAGAUGAACAUUCAAAAUGUGUUGCUGGUGUUGGUAGCGGUGUUGGGGGCGGUGUUGGGGUCGCCGCAGCUUGUCACUAAGAAGAGAGACUACGACGGCCAGAGGCACCUCGGGACCAGGAACUAUCGUGCCCUCAAAUUUGGCCACAGUGGUUACAAUAGCAGAUAUUUGACAAGACAAUAAGACAAUGAUGAAAUCUACGAUGGCUGAAGCUUUAAUCCUGCCAGAUGGUUCAGGACCCGCUACAGGAGGCGUCACGCUCAUUCCUGCUGUAGUCUACAUGAACCACUUCACACAUGACCUGAUAUAGUCGUGCUGCAGCGCUGUCGACAGCCUUAUGCUGUAGUGCAAUAACAUACAAUACAAUGUGCAGUAACUGCAACCUGUCGAUAGUUGGCUCUCUGGGAUACCAUACGGGUGAAACACCGAGGGAGUGCGUGCGACACACUGCUUGGAUAGCAGCUCCCAAGAUACAUUUCAACCCAUUCCAAUAUGUGUACUUAAGUGUACGAUUUGCUCUCUUUUUAUUGUGUUACAUUUUUAGGCUACUUUUUUGUACUUUUUUUAUAUUUUAAAAGAUUAAUGUUAGUAAAUACAUAUAAAAAUGUAA